rnacentral:snRNA from 14 species
AUUGCCUUUGAGCAUUUUGGUGAAGAGAAGUGCAGAAUCUGCAUGUAUUAGAUUAAUAUGUGAUAAUCUACCUAAGGACAAUAUAUUCAGUAGAUUUUAGAAGCAGGGAGAUAAGACAGGAGCUUGCCCCAACCUCUCCACAAAUCACCCUCUUAUUGAAGAACCUCCAGAAAUAGUGCACCCUUC